rnacentral:tmRNA from 1 species
GGGGAUGUACCGGUUUCGACGGGGAUACUUGUUAUCCAAUAAGCGAGCAGUGAUCCCGCCUCUCACUCAAAACGGUGGAAACCUAAAUAUAAACGCAGAAGAUAAUUUUGCAAUGGCUGCCUGAGGGCAGUCCCGUUCGCUGAGUUCUGCCUGGCGGCAAAGCUGAACGGUCAAUAGUCGGGCUGGCACAGGGCAAUUCUCGGAGUCCUGUGUAAGAUUAUCGAGAUAGCCAAUCCUUGGCCCGGUGUUAGGCACGGGACGCGCGAAAUAAAUGUAUGACACCUGCGCUCGGAGAAAUUUGUUUACCAAUAUUUUCGGACAGGGGUUCGACUCCCCUCAUCUCCACCA